UCAUAAGUGUGAAGGUGUCUUGGAAACUAUAAUAUGCUGAACAGAUGGAAAAGGUGCUGCUUAAUGUUUCAGUAGAGGCUAACUUUGAGUACCUUGUACUCAAUGGCCUGAACUAGGUAGAGGACACAAUGUUUUUCCUUCCAGUCAUGAAACCCAAAGGUCAUCUCAGUACCUAAGUUCUAUUCUGGAACUUCUUUCAGAAGCAUGGCAGCAUCAAAAAGUCAAAGGGUCUGACUAAGAUGCCCUGGCUGGUCUUGAACUUGUGA